rnacentral:sRNA from 18 species
UUUUUACACAGGCAUUUAUUGCGCUGUAUACGUGGGUAGCUGAAUUAACGUUUAAGCGGCGUAUUCCGUCGCCAGCCCCACGGUUAGGAAGGCCGCGUUUAGCGGCUUUUCCUAUAGUUAG